AUAAUCCCAGCUACUCAGGAGGCUGAGGCGGGAGAAUCGCUUGAACCCGGGAGGCAGAGGUUGCGUGAGCCGAGAUCACGCCAUUGCACUCCAGCCUGGGCAACAAGAGCAAAACUCCAUCUCAAAAAACAAAAAAACAAAAAACCAAAAAUUAGCUGGGUGGGGUGGUGGUGUGUGCCUGUAACUGCAGCUACACGAGAGGCUGAGGCACGAGAAUUGCUUGAACCUGAGAGGCAGACAUCACAGUGAGCCGAGACGGCGCCACUGCACUCUCGCCUGGGUGACAGUGAGACUGAGUCUCAAAAAAAAAAAAAAAAAAAAAAAGUGAUGAUGUUUGACCUACGGUUUCCCCUGAAGUGUGACAAAAUCUCACUUGAGUCUGCUAUCCCAACAGACAGACUCUGGACAGAGUGAGGCAUAUUAAGUAUGAGGCUCUUUAUGAAAUGGAGGGCCUAUGAGUGCCACCUUCUGGAGUAAAGGAUAAAACUUAAUGCAAUUUUGCCAGUGACCGGGAUGAAAAACAGAAGGCAUGCAUAUCAUAUUUGUGGACGGCAAGGAGUUAGUAGGAAUUGCAACAUUCUCAGUGUGCAGAAUGAGGAUUCAAAUAGUCAGGAAUGGUAAACUCCAGCUUAUUAAAUUUUAUUGAAUUGAAAUUCAAUAGUAAUAAGUCAGAUUCUGCCUUUGGGUUCAAAAAGUCAACUCUUCAUAGAUAAAGUAGGAAAGAUGUAGAAUUUUUAGAACUAGGGAGGCACUCUGCUGACAGCACCCUUCCCCUGCAUCAAGUUCUGUCUUAAGUGCCAAACUUUAAGGGCAUUAUCAACAAAUGAAUAUAUUCAGAGGAGUGAUCUGGAGGGUGAAGGGACCUAAAAUUUUGUCAUGUAGAAACUUCUGAAGAAUCAGCAUUAAGCCCAGAUAAUAAAGACUCAGGGAAAACAAAAUUAUAGUCUAGAUAUACUGUAUUAAUGGACUGAAGGGAGAAAAUUAGGGCCAGUGGAUGGAUACUGCUUGUAUUAAUUCAGAAUGUAGUAUCCCUCAGAGAUUUAAGGAAGGGGUGUUGUGCACUGGAAAAAAAUACUGGUUUCCAAGUCAGGCAGACCUUGUUUAAUUCCAGACUCUUGACAAAGUUUUAUGUCAGUCUUAGUUUUCUCACUUAAAAAUUGUAGUAAUAUGUAUUCUGCAAAGUUUGGAAACGUAAUGUAGCAAGGUCUGUAAAUCACUUUGCAGCACCUCACCUAAGAGCGUCUAUGGUUGAUUUUAAAUUGGGUAUUCUAGGUCAGGUUUGGCAUACUUUCUUUCUUUCUUUUUCUUUUCUUUUGAGGCAGAGUCUCACUCUGUUGCCUAGGCUAGAGUGCAGUGGCGCAAUCUCGGCUCACUGCAACCUCCACCUCCCGGGUUCAAACAAUUCUCCUGCCUCAGCCUCCCGAGUAGCUGGGAUUACAGGCACACAGCACCACGCCCGGCUAAUUUUUGUAUUUUUAGUAGAGAUGGGGUUUCACUAUGUUGGUCAGGCUGGUCUCGAACUCCUGACCUCAUGAUCCACCUGCCUCAGCCUCUCAAAGUGCUGGGAUUACAGGUGUGAGCCACCGUGCCCGGCUCAAGGGUUGGCAUACUUUCUGUAAAGGGCUAGAGAAUAAAUUUUUCAGGUUCUGCAGGUCUCUAUACAAUGAUACCACUCCAGUUCUAUUGGGAAAGCAUCCAUAGACAAUGAUCAUGGCUGUGUUCCAAUGAACCUUCUUUUGUGGACACUAAAAUGUGAAUUUUAUAUAAUUUUUGUGUGUUGUGAAAUAAUUAUCAAAUCUUUUUCAAGCAUUUAAAAAUGUAAAAACAGCUGGGCGUGGUGGCUCAUGCUUGUAAUCCUAGCACUCUGGGAGGCCAAGGCAGGUGAAUCACCUGAGGUCAGGAGUUCGAGACCAGCCUGGCCAAUAUGGUGAAACCCUGUCUCUACUAAAAAUACAAAAAUUAGCCAGGCGUGGUGGUGGGCGCCUGUAAUCCCAGCUACUCUGGAGGGUGAGGCAGGAGAAUUGCUUGAAUCUGGGAGGCGGAGUUUGCAGUGAGCUGAGUCCUCGCCAUUGCAUUCCAGCUUGGGCAACAGAGUGAGAUUACAUCUCAAAAAAAAAAAAAAAAAAAAAAGAAUCCCAGAAAUUAAAUGUUUUAUAUUUUUGCCACAAGAAAACACGUGCAAGUAUGAAACUUUUUGUAAGGUCCUCUGAGCUGGCUGCACUAUGGUCAAGCCACGGUGACAUUCCCCCACCCUUGUGAUAAUGUACUUUGUGAUACUCCUGUCCUUGUGAAUGUACUUUGUAACAUUCCUCCCCACCCUUGUGACAAUACAUCCUCCCUGCCCUUGUGACAAUACACCCUCCCUGCCCUUGUGAAUGUACUUUGUAACAUCCUCCCCACCCUUGAGAAUGUACUUUGUAAUAUCCAUCCCCUGCCUGUAAAAAAUUGCUCCUGACUACACCGCCUAUCCCAAACCUAUAAGAACCAAUGAUAAUCCCACCACCUUUUGCUGACCCCUUUCUCGGACUCAGCCCACUCACACACAAGUGAAUAAACAGCCAUGUUGCUCACACUAAGCCUGUUCAGGUGGUCUCUUAUGUGGACACGCAUAACACUUUUAUUAUUAUUAUUAUUAAAAAAGUAAUAAUAAAAAGAGACAGAGUUUUGCUCUUGUUGCCCAAGCUGGAGUGCAAUGGCGUGAUCUUGGCUUGCUGCAACCUCUGCCUCCUGGGUUCAAGCAGUUCUCCUGCAUCAGCCUCCCAAGUACCUGG
rnacentral:lncRNA from 1 species